UCAAGGGGAUCCUAAAGAGAUAGGCGAAUUCCGGCUCUCGAUCUCGAUAGUAUGUACACGCUGUAAUGAUGGCGGAUCACAAGGGUUACGAGUAUGAUAGUAAUUCUGUAUGGAUGCCUCUGCCGCCGGCAUGAUCGCCUCCUUAUAAAAUGAAUGAAAAUGAACUUGUGCACCCGGCUGGCGUCUACCUGUAAUUGUUGUGCCUGUAAUGUAAACAAAAUAAUCACAAAAUGAACGAUGACGAUUAUAUCGCUAACAUCGUCGCGAGCGGCGCCAGCAGGAGCGGCAGCAGCAGCAGCAGCAGCAGCAGCAGCAGCAGCAACUAGUAUUAGUAUUAGGAGUACAAAUAAGUCUCCGCCGUUUUUUAUCAAAAAUUGAGCAUUUAUUGUGAAAGAACGGUACCUUAUGUUUUAUUCAAAGUAUUGUCCAUCGCUAGCCACUACUUUUUCCCAUCUUUCUGGCAGCAUACGGAUACCGCGUCGGAAGAACUCUUCAUCUUUUGAGGCUAUCCACGAAUCGACCCAAUUUUUGGUAUCUUCAUAUGAUGUGAAGUGCUGCUCAGACAGACCAUGUGUCAUCAAUCGGAACUAGUGAUAAUCCGAAGGCCUGGUGAAUACGGCGGGUGAGGUAGGACUUCUCAAUUGAGUGUUUCCAAGAAGGUUUUGACCGGCGCGGCAACAUGUGGACGAGCAUUAUCAUGCAGGAGAAUAAUUUUGUCGUGUCUGGAGUAGUAGUGGGCGCGUUUCUCCUUGAGUGCUCGGCUCAAUCUCAUCAAUUGUGUUCGGUAGAGAGCCCCAGUAAUGAUUUCGUUUGGUUUGAGCAACUCAUAAUACACAACACCAAGCUGAUCCCACCAAAUACACAAUAUGAGUUUUUGGCAGUUUUGGCAGCAUGGUCACGUGGACCCCAUGAUUUCCUCUUCUUUGGGUUAUCGUAGUGGAUCCAUUUUUCAUCACCAGACUAUACGAUGCAAAAAACCCUUUCGUUUAUGCCUGGCAAGCAGCAUUUCACAUGUGCAAAAUCGGCGUUCAACGUUUCUCGGCUUCAGUUCAUAUGGAACCCAAUUUCCUUGCUUUUGAAUCAUUCCUAACGAUGUUAAACGAUGUGAAAUUGCUUGUUGCGUCACUCCUAAUGUAAGUGCAAGUUCUUCUUGCGUUUGGCACUAAUCUUCCUCCAAUAAUGCUUCCAAUUCUGCGUCUUCGUACACUUUCGGCCUUCCGCUACGUUCUUUGUCUUCGACGUCAAAUUCAUCGUACUUAAACUUAUGAAACCACUCACGACAACUUCUCUCACUUAAAGCAGCCUCACUAUAUGCUUCUACAAGCAAUUGAUGCGCCUCAGCUGCAGAUUUCUUCAAAUUAAAGAAGUAAAUCAAAAGUUCCCGGAAAUGACGCUUAUUCGGCUCAAAACUCGACAUUUUCGCACAAAAAAAAUUAUGUGAUGCUAAUACAAAAUCGCUAAUAUUUCAAGGUUAUGGUGUUGCCAGAUGUUCAACCUUACGAUAUGACAUUUUACAUUUGACUAUUUCAACCAUAAUUUACUGGUGAGGCCAUCUUUUGUCAAACGGCGGAGACUUAUUUGUACUCCUAAUAUAUUUACAACCCCAGCCAUCGCUACCACUCCAGCAGUUGCCGCCACUACUACUGCUAUCUCAGCAGCCACAGCCGCCACCACUGUCACACCAGCAACCACUACUGCCACCUCAGCAGUCACCGCCGCCACCAUUGCCACCCCAGCAACCGCCACCGCCGCAACCAUUGCCAUCCCAGCAACUUCCUUCACUGCCAGCAGUCCCACGACAGCUACUAUCAAGAGAAUGAAGGGGAUGGGGUCGCGGGAAGGGAAGGAGAGGAUUCUUAA